rnacentral:rRNA from 1 species
AUUGAACGCUGGCGGCAGGCCUAACACAUGCAAGUCGAGCGAGCGGCGGACGGGUGAGUAAUGUCUGGGAAACUGCCUGAUGGCGGGGGAUAACUACUGGAAACGGAAGCUAAUACCGCAUACCAUCAGAUUUGCCCAGAUGUGAUUAGCUAGUAGGUGGGGUAACGGCUCACCUAGGCGACGAUCCCGAGCUGGUCUGAGAGGAUGACACGCCACACGGGAACUGAGACACGGUCCAGACUCCUACGGGAGGCAGCAGUGGGGAAUAUUGCACAAUGGUCGCAAGCCUGACGCAGCCAUGCCGCGUGUGUGAAGAAGUCCUUCGGGUUGUAAAGCACUUUCAGCGGGGAGGCGUUACCUGCAGAAGAAGCACCGGCUAACUCCGUGCCAGCAGCCGCGGUAAUAC